GCAGGGCAUGGUGGAGCAUGCCUGUAGUCCCAGCUACUCAGGAGGCUGAGACAGGAGAAUUGCUUGAACCCAGGAGGUGGAAGUUGCAGUGAGCCGACACCACGCCACUGCACUCCAGCCUGGGUGACAGAGCAAGACUCUGUCUCAA
ensembl:misc_RNA Metazoa_SRP Metazoan signal recognition particle RNA